rnacentral:rRNA from 1 species
GACGAACGCUGGCGGCGUGCCUAAUACAUGCAAGUAGAACGCUGAAGAGAGGAGCUUGCUCUUCUUGGAUGAGUUGCGAACGGGUGAGUAACGCGUAGGUAACCUGCCUGGUAGCGGGGGAUAACUAUUGGAAACGAUAGCUAAUACCGCAUAAAAUUGAUUAUUGCAUGAUAAUUAAUUGAAAGAUGCAAUUGCAUCACUACCAGAUGGACCUGCGUUGUAUUAGCUAGUUGGUGAGGUAACGGCUCACCAAGGCGACGAUACAUAGCCGACCUGAGAGGGUGGUCGGCCACACUGGGACUGAGACACGGCCCAGACUCCUACGGGAGGCAGCAGUAGGGAAUCUUCGGCAAUGGGGGGAACCCUGACCGAGCAACGCCGCGUGAGUGAAGAAGGUUUUCGGAUCGUAAAGCUCUGUUGUAAGAGAAGAACGGGUGUGAGAGUGGAAAGUUCACACUGUGACGGUAUCUUACCAGAAAGGGACGGCUAACUACGUG